rnacentral:lncRNA from 1 species
CAGCCAUCGGAGCUUUGUCCACCGAAGGAGUAGCAUUUUCCUCAUUUGGUACUUGCUGAAGUCCGGCAAGAGCCUACGGUGGCUGAUAGUCGUAAAGUCCACCACAGUGAGCUCUGCAACAGCUGCCCUUGUCCGCUCGUUACAAAAGCCCUCUACUUUCAUGUGCCUAACUACCAGAACUGUUAAGAGAUUAGCUCGGAUGCUUGCUUAUUUUUUUUUUUUGAGAAGCAGCAGCUUGCUAAAAUGACUGAGCAGUCACUUUUCCUAGUAGAUUUCUUUCCAUUUGCUUCAUUUUUUUUGUUAAUUGGUGGGAUUGUUGCUAAUUUUUAUGGCCUUUGCGGUACAUUUGUUGUCUUUCUGAUCUGAGGAUGCCGGAUAUUCUGAGAUUCACCUACUUGUGAAUAAUUUCAGUUGGAGCCGAGAGAACUCUGUGUGUUUUUAUGUGUAAAAAUGUCCUACUGGUGAGAUCGUAAACUUAAUUGAGGCUGUUUAAUGAAAUUUAUCAGUUAUGACUAG